GGGCUCGUGGUCUAGCGGUCAUGACGUCGCCCUUACAAGGCGAAUAUCGGCGGUUCAAAUCCGCCCGGGCCCA
rnacentral:tRNA from 1 species